GAUCUGGCUCAGGAUGAACGCUAGCUACAGGCUUAACACAUGCAAGUCGAGGGGCAGCAUCAUCAAAGCUUGCUUUGAUGGAUGGCGACCGGCGCACGGGUGAGUAACACGUAUCCAACCUGCCGACAACACUGGGAUAGCCUUUCGAAAGAAAGAUUAAUACCGGAUGGCAUAGUUUUCCCGCAUGGGAUAAUUAUUAAAGAAUUUCGGUUGUCGAUGGGGAUGCGUUCCAUUAGG
rnacentral:rRNA from 1 species